UAGCAUUUCUAUAUUAUAUCAUUUUAUAUGCAUUUACUUAGCAUUUUGCAUCACAUUGUCCACAUGCUUUAGCUAUGUCAUUUUAUUAACCUGCAUCAAUAUGAAUUCAUAUGUUUCUUAGACAUAAAGGGCGACCUAGUCGCUUCGGUAAACACAACCCACCUUAACUCGCGUUCCGAUUGCUUGUCGACACUUGCAAUCGGCUUCCCGCGGCACCCGUAUCCGGCACGGUCCGAUAUUGCAACUGCGCCUCAACCGU
rnacentral:lncRNA from 1 species